CGGACGGGUGAGUAAUGUCUGGGAAACUGCCUGAUGGAGGGGGAUAACUACUGGAAACGGUAGCUAAUACCGCAUAACGUCGCAAGACCAAAGAGGGGGACCUUCGGGCCUCUUGCCAUCGGAUGUGCCCAGAUGGGAUUAGCUAGUAGGUGGGGUAACGGCUCACCUAGGCGACGAUCCCUAGCUGGUCUGAGAGGAUGACCAGCCACACUGGAACUGAGACACGGUCCAGACUCCUACGGGAGGCAGCAUG
rnacentral:rRNA from 1 species